rnacentral:rRNA from 1 species
AACGUAGGAGACCAGCGUUAUCCGGAAUUACUGGGCGUAAAGCGCGUGUAGGCGGACGGGCAAGUGGGUCGUGAAAGCGCCUGGCUAAACUGGGCGCGGUCGAUCCCGACUGCCGGUCUGGAGUUCGACAGAGGGACGUGGAAUUCCGGGUGUAGUGGUGAAAUGCGUAGAGAUCCGGAGGAACACCAGUGGCGCAGGCGGCGUCCUGGGUCGAAACUGACGCUGAGAAGCGAAAGCAUGGGGAGCGAACGGG